UACGUAGGGCGCAAGCGUUUGUCCGGAAUUAUUGGGCGUAAAGAGCUCGUAGGCGGCUUGUCACGUCGGGUGUGAAAGCCCGGGGCUUAACCCCGGGUCUGCAUUCGAUACGGGCAGGCUAGAGUGUGGUAGGGGAGAUCGGAAUUCCUGGUGUAGCGGUGAAAAUGCGCAGAUAUCAGGAGGAACACCGGUGGCGAAGGCGGAUCUCUGGGCCAUUACUGACGCUGAGGAGCGAAAGCGUGGGGGAGCGAACAGG
rnacentral:rRNA from 1 species